UACAAAAGCAAGAGAUUAAUAUACUUUUAUAAAAUAUGGAAAUCUUUAAUGUAAUUUAAAAUAAUUUUCAUAGAUAUUUUAUAUUUAUAAACAAAAUAAUGAUAUGAAAAUACAAAUUGUGAUUUUUUUAAUGAAAAAAUGAACAUUGAAAAAAUAUAGUUAAAAAUUUAUUAUAUUUCUUUUAAUAAUUUAACCUUAAAUUGUAUAAUUUUUUUCGUGAUAAAAAAUGAAAGAUACAAUUAUAAAUUAAAUUAUUUUGUGAUGGCAGAUUUUUUUUUAGUUACAGGAAAAGAAAUGAAUAAAAAUAUAAUAUUAUUAUAUAUAGUUUUUAUUGGGCCUUUCUUUAUUGCUUUAUUUUUAUAUGGGUUUUUUCCUUUAGUAAAUUAUGAUAAUACUAAAGCCACACAAGAUAAUAUACCAAAGUCUAUAGAAAAUGUGAGAAUAAAGAGAGAUGCAUUAUAUCAACCUAUGGUUAAAAAAUUGAUCAUUAUGAUCAUUGAUGCUUUAAGAUGGGAUUUUAUAACAGGAUCAAUUGGAAAGAUUGCAAUGCCUGUAACAAAUAAUCUCAUAGAAAAUUCUUCAGCUUCUUUGUUAAAAACUAAAGUACAUUCACCAACUGUUACAAUGCCUAGAAUAAAGGCAAUUACCACUGGUAUGGUACCAAGUUUUAUUGAUGUAGCUUUAAACUUUGGAAGUAAACCAGUUACUGGUGAUAGUAUAUUUUUUCAAGCAAAACAAGCUGGUUAUAAAUCAAUAUUUUAUGGAGAUGAUACUUGGAUUACAUUAUUUCCUUUUAUAUUUGACCGUUAUGAUGGUACCACAUCAUUUUUUGUAACAGAUUUUACUGAGGUUGAUAAUAAUGUAACUAGACACAUACAUAAAGAAUUAUAUAAUAAUAAUGAUUGGUCUAUAAUGGUUCUUCAUUACUUAGGACUUGAUCAUAUUGGUCAUGUUUAUGGACCAUUUAAUCCAUUAAUUAAAACAAAACUUAAAGAAAUGGAUAAUAUAAUAGCAAAAAUUCAGUUUAAAGUUCAAGAAUGGAAUCAAAAUAAUGAUUCUACUUUGUUUAUUAUUUGUGGGGACCAUGGAAUGAAAGAUUCUGGUGGUCAUGGUGGUUCAACAAUAUCAGAAACAAUUGUACCUUUCAUUGCAAUUGGUGGAGAAUAUCAUCAAAAUUACAAUAAUCCCAAAGAAAUAUCACAAAUAGAUAUUGCAUCUACACUAUCUGUUAUUUUGGGAUUACCAAUACCAUAUUCUAAUAUAGGGACAGUUUUUUUAGAUGAUUUAUAUAACUUAUCUAUCUCAAAGAAAUUAUUUAUACUUUAUUAUAAUUCAAAGCAAGUUUUUAGUCAUUUUCAAAAGCUAGUUGAUUAUGAGUCUAAAUAUGCAUAUAAAAAAUAUUUGGAAGCAAUAAAGCUUCAUAAUGCUUGGUUAAAUAUUAAAGAUCAUCCAGAUAGCAUAACAGAUGAUAUUGUGCUUUCCUAUAAGAUUGCAUUAAAGGAAAUGAAAGAAAUUCUUAUAAACAGUACAAUAAAAUAUGAUUUCCAAAUAAUAAUAAUAGCUAUAAUUUUUCUAUGUCAUAUUACUUGUAUUUUAAUAGGAAAAAUAUCUUUUAAUUCACCUAUAUUAAAAAAUAUUAUAUUUUUCAUUAUUUUAAAUAUAUUUUCAUGGAUAUUAAUCAAUCAUUUUUGGAAACAAGAAAAUAUAUCAUUACUGCAUACAAAAAAUCUAAUUGCCAAUAUAAUAGUAUUAUGUAUCAUAAUUAUUUUAAUUAUACAUUCUUAUCUACUUGUCAAUAUUAAAGAUUUUAAUAUUUUUAUGUCUGAGAAAACAAAAAAUGGAAUAGGAAAGUGGCUUCUUUCAUUUGGAGCAUUAAUACAUGCAAUUAGUCUUGGUAGUAGUAGUUUUGUAGAAGAAGAACAUCAAACAUGGUAUUUUUAUUGGGUCACAGUUCUUAUAUUGCUACUUUACCAUUUUAUCGCGAAAUAUUUUUCAAGAGAUUUUUUACAUAUACAAUAUUACAAGAACUACCAACAAUAUUUACAUGUACAAAUUAUCAUUAAACUUUUGUUACUAUUGAUAGGACACAGAAUUCUCAGGAAAUUAAAUAGUACUGGGGAUAAAUAUGCUCAUCUUCCUGAUAUAGCAGGAUUUUUAUUAAAACAAGAAAACAUAUUGAGCAUGACAAUUGUACUUGUUACUGGUCUUAUACUUUUGAUGUGGAUUGAUUUUAGUCAUGAAAGUAAAACACAUAAAAUACAAACAUUAGCAUAUAAUUCAAUAGUUAGUAUAUGUAUUUAUCUUCGUCAUAUGCAUAACGGUAAUGUUGCCAAAAUAGUGUUUUAUCCCCAAACUAGUGGAAUAUACGAAGUACAAAUUUUUUGGUUUUUACUCUUGAUAAAUUUUUCAACAUACAUUUAUAAUAUGAUCCAAAUAAAAAAACAUAAUGCCAAACUCUUUUUAAAAAUUUCUUUGUAUUUUAUUCUAAAAACAUGGAUUAUGAUCUCAGCAAUGCUUCAUAAGCCGCACAAUGUGAUACUUUUACCAUUUCAAAUAAUAUUUAGCAAUAUAAUUUCUGAAAUAAUUAAAAACGAUAUUUCUCAAGAUGUUGGUGUGAUCUUAUAUAUCUGGAUUGGCAAUGUAUUUUAUUUUUAUCAGGGAAAUUCCAAUAGUUUAGCAACUAUUGAUGUAGCUGCAGGUUACGUUGGUGUACAAUCGUAUAUUCCAUUUAUUAAUGGUUCAUUAUUGUUAAUUAAUACUUAUUCAUCUCCGGUUUUGGCCUAUUUUUUAUUUAUUUAUUAUUCGAUCUUGGAACAUCCAUAUAACAAAAUAUAAAUACAAAGUACCGAUAAUAAAUAUAAUGUUCCAUUGUUAAAUUAAGGAUGAUCAUGCAUUUAUUAUUUGGAAUGUCAAUUUUUUAAAUAUUUCAAUAUUUCUAAAAUGAAAGGAAGCGUAAGAUUCCAUUUCUUCAGUUACGUUGUACAUUGGUUUUUACCAGUUGCACGUUGCAUUAUAGUAGGAUCCAUUGGUGUAGCAAUCAUAGAUAUAGAUAAUAUUGGAAUGAUUAAGCAACACAACCAUAAGACUUGAUCAACCGAAAAUAAGGGCGGUAGUAAUAAGAAACCGGACAUAGCUUGUGUGAAGGAGAGAGUAACUGUACAACAGAGCCAGAAUUGCACGCAAUUCCAGAGGCACAUCAUAUAAUGCCGAGCCUAAAUAUGCAAUAAACAAUGUCCAAUAAUUAUAAUAACUACGACAAGAAUUUACUAAUAAAACUGGAAAUUGAA